GCCAGUUUGGCUCAGUGGAUAGAGCAUUAGCCUUCGGACUGAAGGGUCCCGGGUUGUGGGUUCAAUCCCCAGUAGGAGGCA
rfam:Myotis lucifugus cont2.27684, whole genome shotgun sequence.